GAUGAACGCUGGCGGCGUGCCUAAUACAUGCAAGUCGAGCGAACAGACGAGGAGCUUGCUCCUCUGACGUUAGCGGCGGACGGGUGAGUAACACGUGGAUAACCUACCUAUAAGACUGGGAUAACUUCGGGACACCGGAGCUAAUACCGGAUAAUAUAUUGAACCGCAUGGUUCAAUAGUGAAAGACGGUUUUGCUGUCACUUAUAGAUGGAUCCGCGCCGCAUUAGCUAGUUGGUAAGGUAACGGCUUACCAAGGCAACGAUGCGUAGCCGACCUGAGAGGGGGAUCGGCCACACGGGAACUGAGACACGGUCCAGACUCCUACGGGAGGCAGCAGUAGGGAAUCGUCCGCAAUGGGCGAAAGCCUGACGGAGCAACGCCGCGUGAGUGAUGAAGGUCUUCGGAUCGUAAAACUCUGUUAUUAGGGAAGAACAAAUGUGUAAGUAACUAUGCACGUCUUGACGGUACCUAAUCAGAAAGCCACGGCUAACUACGUG
rnacentral:rRNA from 1 species